rnacentral:rRNA from 1 species
GAUCAUGGCUCAGGAUGAACGCUAGCUACAGGCUUAACACAUGCAAGUCGAACGGGAAUUACUUUAUUGAAACUUCGGUCGAUUUAAUUUAAUUCUAGUGGCGGACGGGUGAGUAACGCGUGGGUAACCUGCCUUAUACAGGGGGAUAACAGUCAGAAAUGGCUGCUAAUACCGCAUAAGCGCACAGAGCUGCAUGGCUCGGUGUGAAAAACUCCGGUGGUAUAAGAUGGACCCGCGUUGGAUUAG